AGAAGCAGCAUCUGACUACUCCCAGCAGCAGCAGUAGUAAGGACGGAGGCUACGAUUGAUAAUAAGUACUGCUCGGCGUGAGCAGCAGCUGGUUAGUUUAAGAAAUAUGAUAUCAAAGCCCGGUCCUCCACGUAGGAGUUGCAUAAGCAGCCGGCAGAGAAGACUACGGUGGAGGGUAGUAUCUCAGCAGGAGUAGUGAAGUAAUGAGUAGUGAUCAGAAAUAAUACCGGUGGCGACGGCGCCCCCCUCUACUGAUACUGACACUCUGAUGCGACAGGGGGAGCAACCAACAGGAGAUGAUAUCGUAGUACUCCACGCAAUAAACGAUGUCUACGAGGAUGUGGCGGCCCUCAGCCGUUGUUUGAGGAGACAACUUAUAUAGUCGACCGCGUGAGGAGUACGGUAGCAUGAUUAAAAAUCAAAUGAAACGACGGGGGCCCGCACCAGCGGAGCAGCAUGUGGUUUAAUUUGAAACAAGGAGAACAACCUUACCUACUGACAACAAGCAAAGAACUUUCCAAAGAUGGAUUGGCGCCUUCAAGUACUAUAAGACAGGUGCAGCAUGGCCGUCGUCAGGUGGUGUUAAGAAAUGUUGGAAGAAGUCCCGCAACGAGCGCCACCCUCAUCCUUGUCCGCCAGCGAAUAAUGUCGGGAACUCCAAGGAGACUGCCGGUGAUAAACCGGAGGAAGGUGGGGACGACGACAAGUCAUCAUGGCCCUUACGAGUAGGGCUACACACGUGCUACAAUGGCGCAUACAGAGGGCAGCCAACUUGAGAAAGUGAAAGAAUCCCAAAAAGUGCGUCGUAGUCCGGAUUGGAGUCUGCAACUCGACUCCAAGAAGUAGGAAUUGGUAGUAAUCGAGGAUCAGAACGCCACGGUGAAUACCUUCCCCGUCCUCAACACACCGCCCGUCACACCAGAGUUUUGUUUUUUA
rnacentral:rRNA from 1 species